GAACACAGAAUCUCAAAGAUCGGCUACUUCACUGACAAAACCAGCUUUCUCCGUGCACCCUUCCCUCUCUUUGCUUUUGUUCCUGGAGGUGGUGGCGUGGCUGAGCCUUUCCUGAGUCUAUGUGAAUGCGGUUUCACUGGGGGACAGUUGACUCCAUGCUUAGCUCCCUCUGGGUGACUUCCAGCCUUGGAAUUCGCUGGAGGCAAGGUGAGAGGCAGCCGCACCCGGAAUCCCAUCAGUGGCUCCUCUUUUGUGUACUUUGGCCUGACUCUGCUUGGCCUCCACUGGCCAGAUGUGUCCUGGAAGGUGGUGCUGGGCUCCUGGGGGCCUUACCCGCAAAUGACCCUAAAAAAGCCAUAAGAGUCAUUGCCUUCCAUGACAAUGACAUAGAGUCAUUGUGGUCCCGGUGGAGGAAGCAGCCUUCUUCCCCCUGCUACAGCCCGAUUACUCAGUACGAUGAUUCGUUACCAUACCAGGCAUCCUGAGGUUGGGCACCGUGGAGCGCCAUAUUGAAUGGAAGAAAGAUGGAAUGCCCUUGCAUCCAAAGAUGCCUGGUUCCAGUUCUUGAACAUCUGUGUUCAGGAGUGUGCACUCAGGAGCUGGACAGUCUGGGUUGGAAUUCACACCUUGCCAGUUGUCUUCAGACAGUGUGGAAUGGUGAGCUUGAGGAGAGUCCUGAAGGCAUUGGAUCUGAACACUGCUACCGUAAACUGCUAACCCUGGCCAGGACUCCAUGGACGAGGACCUGUUCCAGCAGGUGAUGGUCUGGACGUGAUCAGAGAAAGCCCCUCUGGCAACAAUUCUGAACCAAGAGCUCUGGAGAGUCGGCUUGGGGGCCUGCAUUUUCAGUACCUGGGUAUGCAGCAUAGUGAUGCAGUUACAUGCUCCUGCUCGGUUGCUCAGUUCUGUUGGAUUCUUUGCAACACUUGGGACUGUAGCCCACCAAGCUCCCCUGUCCAAGGGAUUUCCCAGGCAAGAAUACUGGAGUGGAUUGCCAUUUCCUACUCCAGGGGAUCUUCCCAACCCCAGGGAUCGAACCAGCAUCUCCUGCAUCGCAGGGCUUCGAUGUGAGCCUGCAAAGGAAGAGACGAGACUCUGAAAUUAAAUUUGGUCUUAAAGAGAAAUACACUGUAUUUCUUAUGCUCUCAAGCCUGCAGGCCAAGAGUUGCAGCCAUCGCCCCAGUGAACCAGUGAUGACUCUACUGUCAGAUGAUGCUGGCGAGAACUCUCAACUGUGUUCGGAUUUCAGGCAUAUCUUAGUGACAGCACUGCAAGGUCAUGGGGUGAGGGGUCACAGCCGAUAAGAAGCCUGGUGUUUCAGUUCUGACCUUGACCUUUGCUCAGAGCAUGACCUCAGCCAUUGAUCCACCUCUCUGGACCCUCAAUUUUUUAUUUAUAAAUUAACAUUGGGUUAAAUUAUCUCUGAUGUCCAUUAGUGGUCCACUGUUGUGAGACCGGAAAAGGAGACUCAGAUCCUAAAUUCAUUUCAAACGGGAACAGGAAAAAACCACAUGAGUUCCUUCUAACUCCCUAACUUCUGUUAUCAAGCAGUUCACCAUCUUUUCAUUUCUAUCCUAAUUUAUGCUCGCUUUUUAUGUAGCCUUGUAAGCAGCCACUUAAAAGCAUGUGGACAAGGUUGACUUGGUCCCAUUCUGUCCCUUGGCUCACUGGUGACAUUUCUCCUAGGUGACUGCAUAGGAAUUCCAGACAUUUGCCUUCUUCCUUGGUUCUCCAGUAGCCUUCGUUUGGUCUUAAAAUAGGCACAUGCUUUAUCAUGUGCUGACCUACUAAUGUGAAGAAAUCCCCAAUGUCGGUGAUUUAAAAGGGAGCCCCAGGAAGAUCAUCGUGUUCCUGACCCCGGUGACAGCAAUUAAGUCUGCAGCCUUCCUCAUGUGCAUGUCUGUCCUUGGAUGUAAGUUUUAAAAGAACCAUGGAACCAGCGAGACCAAAACAGAGGGUCUUUGGUACAUGUUAUUCCCCAAACAAAGAGGAAUAUCUAAAUCAGAAAAUGUAUGAAUUCUAAUAUUUCAUAUUUUCACUAAUGAUCUAAUUGUGGAAUAAUAUUUAUUUACUUCCAAUGGGCGACUGAAUAAAGAUGAAGAGAAACAGUUAUACCUGUAUAUGGUGGGCAUCUUUCUGUGCGUGUCCUACAGGUAAUAAUCCAUAGUUCAAUGAUACAAAAAGUGACUUUGUAGAAGCAAGAGUACUUUUUCUUGUGUCUGGAGGCAGUGUUAGGUGCCCAUCUUCAUGUUUCUUUGGCACCCUCAACUCACCUCUUAUAAAGCAUUUCUCACCCUUUCCUAUGAUUUCUGUUAAUGAGUCUUCUUUCCACACUGGACUGUGACCUUUAAGAGGAUAACUGUAUGAUUUAUUAUUUUCUACAGAGGAGCCUGGUGGGCUGCA
ensembl:lncRNA